rnacentral:rRNA from 1 species
GUAGGGAAUCUUCGGCAAUGGACGGAAGUCUGACCGAGCAACGCCGCGUGAGUGAAGAAGGUUUUCGGAUCGUAAAGCUCUGUUGUAAGAGAAGAACGGGUGUGAGAGUGGAAAGUUCACACUGUGACGGUAUCUUACCAGAAAGGGACGGCUAACUACGUGCCAGCAGCCGCGGUAAUACGUAGGUCCCGAGCGUUGUCCGGAUUUAUUGGGCGUAAAGCGAGCGCAGGCGGUUAGAUAAGUCUGAAGUUAAAGGCUGUGGCUUAACCAUAGUACGCUUUGGAAACUGUUUAACUUGAGUGCAAGAGGGGAGAGUGGAAUUCCAUGUGUAGCGGUGAAAUGCGUAGAUAUAUGGAGGAACACCGGUGGCGAAAGCGGCUCUCUGGCUUGUAACUGACGCUGAGGCUCGAAAGCGUGGGGAGCAAACAGGAUUAGAUACCCUGGUAGUCCACGCCGUAAACGAUGAGUGCUAGGUGUUAGACCCUUUCCGGGGGUUUAGUGCCGCAGCUAACGCAUUAAGCACUCCGCCUGGGGAAGUACGACCGCAAAGUUGA